rnacentral:rRNA from 1 species
GACGAACGCUGGCGGCGUGCCUAAUACAUGCAAGUCGAGCGAAGUUUUUCUGGUGCUUGCACCGGAAAAACUUAGCGGCGAACGGGUGAGAAACACGUAAAGAACCUGCCUCAUAGACUGGGACAACUAUUGGAAACGAUAGCUAAUACCGGAUAAUAGCAUUAACUGCAUGGUUGAUGUUUAAAAGUUGGUUUUGCUAACACUAUGAGAUGGCUUUGCGGUGCAUUAGCUAGUUGGUGGGGUAAAGGCCUACCAAGGCGACGAUGCAUAGCCGACCUGAGAGGGUGAUCGGCCACACUGGGACUGAGACACGGCCCAGACUCCUACGGGAGGCAGCAGUAGGGAAUCUUCCGCAAUGGGCGAAAGCCUGACGGAGCAACGCCGCGUGAGUGAAGAAGGAUUUCGGUUCGUAAAGCUCUGUUGUUAGGGAAGAAUGAUUGUGUAGUAACUAUACACAGUAGAGACGGUACCUAACCAGAAAGCCACGGCUAACUACGUG